CCUUCAUUUCCCUUUUCAUUAUUUCCCCCAUCUUCUUCGUAGAUGGCAGAGUAAGGAACAUCAACGUGAACCUUUUCCCCCUUCCUCGAAGAAGCCACGAACUAGCAACCCUUCAUCCCCUUCAUUCCCUUCGAUUUUUUCCGGUGAGAAUGGCAACGACAGCUGCAUUGUUUCGGCGGUAGCGGCGAAGCAGAACAGCCCCGACGAGCUCCUCUCCUCCCUCCUCUGGUUUCCGGCGAGCUUUGACACGGUGCGACGACGACCUAGAUCUUGGAAGAUGCGGUGUCCUCCUGUUCCUUUCAUCUUUGGUCAGUAGCAACGACAAUGGUGGUCUCCGACAGUUUGGCCAGCAGCGAUGGUGGCCUCCCUUCCGGCGUCGUGCGUUGGUUUCCGGCAAAAAGGAUUCUGAGGUGGAAAAUCAGGCAGAGGAGCUUAGUAUCCAAGGAGGUAUACAGUUGGACUGGUUGUACAGGGUGGCUUGGAGGUACAGGUUGGAACUGUUAUAAGGAUGGAGUGGCGUAAAGGUGCAGAGUAGUUGAGCCAAGAGCGCGAUAGUGGAGCGGUGGAGCCUAGUAGACUAGCUUCCUUCUUAUAGCUUAGUAGUAGUUUGGCCUGUGUGCCCUGGAACUUGUAGACUUUUUGUUAAUAGUUUUUGUAAGCCUGUGCAUUUAGAUUGGAAAUCUAUAUGUGACAUAGCAUCUCUAAGACUUUGUUAAGAUUUUGC